GUAGGUGAACCUGCGGAAGGAUCAUUAUUGAAGGGGACCUCCGGGUCCAACCUUAAACCCUUUGACUUAUUACCCGUUUCUUUGGCGGCUUUGCCGUCAGAAGUUUUCUCAAACCCAUUAUAAACAUGUCUGAACAACAAAUAAAUAAAAUAAAACUUUCAACAACGGAUCUCUUGGUUCCG
rnacentral:misc_RNA from 1 species